GGCACGAGCUUAGGCUGUAGGAGACUGCUGAAUCCCCAGUGCCAGGGAGCAGGUGGAAGGCAGGAGGAGGAAGUGACGGGAUGGAAGGCCGCCUUCGUGCUCUCCAUCCAUCCACUACCUCGUGUGCUUGCCUUGGAGAGCAAGGUCUUCCUGCACUUGGAGAAAGAGGCUGAUUUUGCGUCUGGAUCAGUGUGCUACAGAACAGAAGCGCAUUAUAGAAGAGCCACAGCCCGUGAGGACAAACGUUGGGGUGUGCCACUGACAAGGAGCAUCUCCAACAAAGGAUGUGCGGAAUCACUGGGAAAGAAAACCCUUUCUUUAGGACUGGAGACCGGAAACCAUAAACCCGCUAGAAGAAAAACUAGGAGGAAGGCCUCAUGACAUAUGGAGGCAAUGAUUCUUGGAUAUGAACCCCAGAGCACAGGCGACGAAGGAAGAAUGAGGUGAGUGGGACUGCCAGCAAACUAAAACAGGUAUACAGGUCAAAGGGUACAACAGAGGGAAAAGACAGUCAUGAAUAGCAAGAAAAAGUACAAAGAACAGUCUAAUGUCCAAGCACAGAAAAAGGACCAGCUCCUCAACAGCAAGAAAUCAACCCUAUGAAAUAUUGCAAAAAAACAAAAACAAAUGAACGACAAACAACAACAACAACAACAACAACAAAAAAAAACCAUAAAGAGACUUGUAUGGUAUUUCUCAAGAGAAGAUAUACAAAUGGCCAAAGAUAUAUUUAGAAAUGUUCAGUGUCACUUAAGCAUAAGAUAAAAGCAAAUUAAAGCCACAAAAUCCCUUCAUUAUCAAUUAUGGUGUCUGUUAUCAAAAUAUAUAACAAGCACUAGAGACACUGUGGCCAAAAGGGGCCCUGUGUGCAUUGUUGAUAGAGAUGUAAAUGACUCCAUCAGAGGAAACGGCAUGAGAGUCCACAGAACGCCUAAUUAGAAUUACCAUGAGACCCAGCCAAUCCAAGGCCGAGAAUCAAGCGUGGUUAGCAACAACUGUGCUGUGUAUCAGAAGGGUUGAGAAGCCCUUAACUGUUCAAACCACAUUCGAGGCAAUGCACGUGAUCUGAUUGGUCUCCAUGUAUACUGUAUCAAACAUCACAUUACACUUCAUAAAUGGAUGGACUUAUUGUUCGUCAAUUGAUAAAAAGGAACAAAAAGCAAAGAAAAAAGCUAGUUCCCAUCCCCGUCUUCCUCGGAAAACCUCUGGGAAGAGUUUGCUGCAAUCCCUGACUCAGAUGAACUCCGAUACGUGGCUGUGCUUCCUUUCCACGGUGAAACCUGCCGCAGCAGCAGGAGUCACGGUCGUCAAGGAUGGAUCAAAGCAGCAGCUUUGUCACACAGGGAAGGAGGGGAAAACACAUGGCACCGAAAGACGAAAACAGUUCACCGCAAGGAAAGGACACUAGAAAUGCUAGUUGUUCAGUGAAGAAAAUAUCCAGCCUUAGGAAGACCGGGGGACAGUGGCCUGUAUUAUUGCUGCCGCCGCCGCCGUGGUGACAAGAGAAGGAGGAUCAGCCUUAUAUUCCUGAAGGAGGAAAGAAAACACACAGAAAAAUAGCCGGAGGCCGGUUUAUCACUGUUUAGAGACACAGAAUUACUGUGGAAUAUAUUCUUGGACACGUCAGAGCCAAACCAACCACGGGGGACUAAGCAGGGCUGUUCUGUGAAGACAGCACACGCCAUUAUCAGAAAAAGGGAGGAAGAAGGAAAGAGGGGCAAGCUGCGAGGGAAAGCAAAUAUAUUUCUGACAUUUACAAGUCAGGCACGCACGCCAAAUUUAGCAUGUCUUUUAAUUAAUACGAUGCUUUUCAAACCCCGUGACCCUUCCCUCCCACUGCUUUCCCUGGGUGAUCUUCGUCAACUACAUUUACAGCCAAAGCCACAAGGUAACUCAAGGACAUAAGGGUAAAAAAACAUUUGAAACACGUGAUACUUAACGCUCCAUUUAUUGAUCACUCUACUUGAAGGAAACAUUGGCAGAAAGUAGUGGAAUUCAUAGUUCCUUGUUUUCCCUUAAAAAUUCCCACCAGUUUCUCCUCAAAGAACUUAAAAAGUUUUCCGUGGGUAGUCAAAAAGAAGAGUGAGUUUCCAGCACGCUCCUCUGUGCGCUUAAGUAAAGAGGGAGAGUCCACGUUCAGUAGCAUGCGAAGGGGUGGACUUCCAGGGGUGCAACGGUGGCGCACCCCUCGCCACACUGCUGUAACUACAGGCGCGUUUAAUUCAACUAUACUUAGUUUUCCUAGAAGCAAUGUCAUUUAGGAAGUCUUUGCUAUUAAAAUGUUUAAAAAAGAAUUAAAA